UACGUAGGGGGCAAGCGUUGUCCGGAUUUAUUGGGCGUAAAGAGUGUGUAGGCGGUUUGGAAGGUCAGCUGUGAAAACUCGAGGCUCAACCUCGAGACGUCGGUUGAAACCACCUGGCUAGAGUCCGGAAGAGGAGAGUGGAAUUCCCGGUGUAGCGGUGAAAUGCGCAGAUAUCGGGAAGAACACCCGUGGCGAAGGCGGCUCUCUGGGACGGUACUGACGCUGAGACGCGAAAGCGUGGGGAGCGAACAGG
rnacentral:rRNA from 1 species